rnacentral:sRNA from 1 species
GCCAGGUGUGGUGACGCACACCUGUAAUCCCAGUGGCUCAGGAGGCUGAGGCAGGAGGAUUACAAGUUCAAAGCCAGCCUCAG